CAGUCGAACGAUGAAGCCUAGCUUGCUGGGUGGAUUAGUGGCGAACGGGUGAGUAACACGUGAGUAACCUGCCCUGGACUCUGGGAUAACCCCGAGAAAUCGGAGCUAAUACCGGAUAGGACCUUUCCCUGCAUGGGGUUUGGUGGAAAGUUUUUUCGGUUUGGGAUGGACUCGCGGCCUAUCAGCUUGUUGGUGAGGUAAUGGCUCACCAAGGCGUCGACGGGUAGCCGGCCUGAGAGGGUGACCGGCCACACUGGGACUGAGACACGGCCCAGACUCCUACGGGAGGCAGCAGUGGGGAAUAUUGCACAAUGGGCGCAAGCCUGAUGCAGCAACGCCGCGUGCGGGAUGACGGCCUUCGGGUUGUAAACCGCUUUUAGUAAGGAAGAAGGGGAGCUUUGCUCUUUGACGGUACUUGCAGAAAAAGGACCGGCUAACUACGUGCCAGCAGCCGCGGUAAUACGUAGGGUCCGAGCGUUGUCCGGAAUUAUUGGGCGUAAAGAGCUCGUAGGCGGUUUGUCGCGUCUGCCGUGAAAUCCUCAGGCUCAACCUGAGGUCUGCGGUGGGUACGGGCAGACUUGAGUGGUGUAGGGGAGACUGGAAUUCCUGGUGUAGCGGUGGAAUGCGCAGAUAUCAGGAGGAACACCGAUGGCGAAGGCAGGUCUCUGGGCACUUACUGACGCUGAGGAGCGAA
rnacentral:rRNA from 1 species